rnacentral:rRNA from 1 species
GGCGUGCCUAAUACAUGCAAGUCGAACGCUUCUUUUUCCACCGGAGCUUGCUCCACCGGAAAAAGAAGAGUGGCGAACGGGUGAGUAACACGUGGGUAACCUGCCCAUCAGAAGGGGAUAACACUUGGAAACAGGUGCUAAUACCGUAUAACAAUCAAAACCGCAUGGUUUUGAUUUGAAAGGCGCUUUCGGGUGUCGCUGAUGGAUGGACCCGCGGUGCAUUAGCUAGUUGGUGAGGUAACGGCUCACCAAGGCCACGAUGCAUAGCCGACCUGAGAGGGUGAUCGGCCACAUUGGGACUGAGACACGGCCCAAACUCCUACGGGAGGCAGCAGUAGGGAAUCUUCGGCAAUGGACGAAAGUCUGACCGAGCAACGCCGCGUGAGUGAAGAAGGUUUUCGGAUCGUAAAACUCUGUUGUUAGAGAAGAACAAGGAUGAGAGUAACUGUUCAUCCCUUGACGGUAUCUAACCAGAAAGCCACGGCUAACUACGUGCCAGCAGCCGCGGUAAUACGUAGGUGGCAAGCGUUGUCCGGAUUUAUUGGGCGUAAAGCGAGCGCAGGCGGUUUCUUAAGUCUGAUGUGAAAGCCCCCGGCUCAACCGGGGAGGGUCAUUGGAAACUGGGAGACUUGAGUGCAGAAGAGGAGAGUGGAAUUCCAUGUGUAGCGGUGAAAUGCGUAGAUAUAUGGAGGAACACCAGUGGCGAAGGCGGCUCUCUGGUCUGUAACUGACGCUGAGGCUCGAAAGCGUGGGGAGCAAACAGGAUUAGAUACCCUGGUAGUCCACGCCGUAAACGAUGAGUGCUAAGUGUUGGAGGGUUUCCGCCCUUCAGUGCUGCAGCUAACGCAUUAAGCACUCCGCCUGGGGAGUACGACCGAACAGGUG